rnacentral:rRNA from 1 species
GACGAACGCUGGCGGCGUGCUUAACACAUGCAAGUCGAGCGGUAAGGCCCUUUCGGGGGUACACGAGCGGCGAACGGGUGAGUAACACGUGGGUGACCUGCCCUCAGCUCUGGGAUAAGCCUGGGAAACCGGGUCUAAUACCGGAUAUGACUCCAUGACGCAUGUUGUGGGGUGGAAAGCCUUGUGCGGCUGAGGAUGGGCCCGCGGCCUAUCAGCUUGUUGGUGGGGUGAUGGCCUACCAAGGCGACGACGGGUAGCCGGCCUGAGAGGGCGACCGGCCACACUGGGACUGAGACACGGCCCAGACUCCGUACGGGAGGCAGCAGGUGGGGAAUCUUGCGCAAUGGGCGAAAGCCUGACGCAGCGACGCCGCGUGAGGGAUGACGGCCU